rnacentral:tRNA from 1 species
GUAAAAGUGCCUGAAAAAAAGGACCGGAUUGAUACUCCUACUAUGUACAUUUGUACCUUUUACU